AUUGAACGCUGGCGGCAUGCCUUACACAUGCAAGUCGGACGGCAGCAUGAUCUAGCUUGCUAGAUUGAUGGCGAGUGGCGAACGGGUGAGUAAUACAUCGGAACGUGCCCUGUAGUGGGGGAUAACUAGUCGAAAGAUUAGCUAAUACCGCAUACGACCUGAGGGUGAAAGUGGGGGACCGCAAGGCCUCAUGCUAUAGGAGCGGCCGAUGUCUGAUUAGCUAGUUGGUGAGGUAAAGGCUCACCAAGGCGACGAUCAGUAGCUGGUCUGAGAGGACGAUCAGCCACACUGGGACUGAGACACGGCCCAGACUCCUACGGGAGGCAGCAGUGGGGAAUUUUGGACAAUGGGCGAAAGCCUGAUCCAGCAAUGCCGCGUGUGUGAAGAAGGCCUUCGGGUUGUAAAGCACUUUUGUCCGGAAAGAAAUGGCUCUGGUUAAUACCUGGGGUCGAUGACGGUACCGGAAGAAUAAGGACCGGCGAACUACG
rnacentral:rRNA from 1 species